rnacentral:tRNA from 1 species
UGGGCGUGUAGCUCAGCGGAUUAGAGCACACGGCUACGAACCGUGGAGUCGGGGGUUCAAGUCCCUCCUCGCCCGU